GCGCGUGUAGCUCAGUUGGUUAGAGCGCGUCACUGAUAAUGACGAGGUCCGUGGUUCGAGUCCACGCUCGCGCA
rnacentral:tRNA from 1 species